rnacentral:misc_RNA from 1 species
GGCUUGUUAUUGGGUCUUAUCGUUAGAGAUAGGCCUGAAAGAUAAUGACGGCGUCGUGAAUGACCCCAGGUGCAGCGAGCUAAUAGCAUACACUGAGGUGGUCUUUGCGGCCCGGUCUUUCGUUUCGGUUCUGUCAAAGGAAUUGGAACACUUUUUCAAAGGUUGACCUCGGAUUAGGUAGGAAUACCCGCUGAACUUAA